rnacentral:rRNA from 1 species
UACGUAGGGUGCAAGCGUUAAUCGGAAUUACUGGGCGUAAAGCGUGCGUAGGCGGCUUUGCAAGUCAGCUGUGAAAUCCCCGGGCUUAACCUGGGAACUGCAUUUGUGACUGCAUGGCUAGAGUGCGGCAGAGGGGGAUGGAAUUCCGCGUGUAGCAGUGAAAUGCGUAGAUAUGCGGAGGAACACCGAUGACGAAGGCAGUCCCCUGGGCCUGCACUGACGCUCAGGCGCGAAAGCGUGGGGAGCAAACAGG